rnacentral:rRNA from 1 species
GUCAAGCGAAUAAGCGCAUACGGUGGAUGCCUAGGCGGUAAGAGGCGAUGAAGGACGUAGUAGUCUGCGAUAAGCUUCGGGGAGUCGACAAACAGACUUUGAUCCGGAGAUUUCCGAAUGGGGAA